AUUGAACGCUGGCGGCAGGCUUAACACAUGCAAGUCGAGCGGAGUGAUGGUGCUUGCACUAUCACUUAGCGGCGGACGGGUGAGUAAUGCUUAGGAAUCUGCCAUUUAGUGGGGGACAACAUUCCGAAAGGAAUGCUAAUACCGCAUACGUCCUACGGGAGAAAGCAGGGGAUCUUCGGACCUUGCGCUAAAUGAUGAGCCUAAGUCGGAUUAGCUAGUUGGUGGGGUAAAGGCCUACCAAGGCGACGAUCUGUAGCGGGUCUGAGAGGAUGAUCCGCCACACUGGGACUGAGACACGGCCCAGACUCCUACGGGAGGCAGCAGUGGGGAAUAUUGGACAAUGGGCGGAAGCCUGAUCCAGCCAUGCCGCGUGUGUGAAGAAGGCCUUUUGGUUGUAAAGCACUUUAAGCGAGGAGGAGGCUCUCCUAGUUAAUACCUAGGAAGAGUGGACGUUACCCGCAGAAUAAGCACCGGCUAACUCUGUGCCAGCCGCCGCGGUAAAAC
rnacentral:rRNA from 1 species